rnacentral:rRNA from 1 species
UGGAGGAAAGUAGGGGAUCGCAAGACCUUGCGCUUUUGGAGUGGCCGAUGCCUGAUUAGCUAGUUGGUGGGGUAAGAGCCUACCAAGGCGACGAUCAGUAGUUGGUCUGAGAGGACGACCAGCCACACUGGGACUGAGACACGGCCCAGACUCCUACGGGAGGCAGCAGUGGGGAAUUUUGGACAAUGGGCGAAAGCCUGAUCCAGCAAUGCCGCGUGAGUGAAGAAGGCCUUUGGGUUGUAAAGCUCUUUCAGUCGAGAAGAAAAGGUCGCGACUAAUAAUCGCGACUCAUGACGGUAUCGACAGAAGAAGCACCGGCUAGCUACGUGCCAGCAGCCGCGGUAAUACGUAGGGUGCGAGCGUUAAUCGGAAUUACUGGGCGUAAAGGGUGCGCAGGCGGCUUUGUAAGUCAGAUGUGA